AUGAACGCUUUGAAAAGAAGAGUACAUGUCCGAUUCGUUUGACAGAGAGCCUCCUUAGCUGAAACGAGGUAGCGAUUGAAGAGAUGGAAGAUGGUCUUUGAGCAGAUUAAGUGAGCCGUGGCAAGCUUAAUACGGGAACGCCCGUUACAGCGUCCAGGUAUGCGCCCGAGCAGUUUUGAUUAGGGGCAAGUACCGCUGGAGGUUAUAAUCGUGAGGUUAUGGCGAAAAAAGGUGGUAACACGAAGUCUAUGGGGCCUCGUCCUUUGU
rnacentral:ncRNA from 1 species